rnacentral:rRNA from 1 species
GAUGAACGCUGGCGGCGUGCCUAAUACAUGCAAGUCGAGCGAACGGACGAGAAGCUUGCUUCUCUGAUGUCAGCGGCGGACGGGUGAGUAACACGUGGAUAACCUACCUAUAAGACUGGGAUAACUUCGGGAAACCGGAGCUAAUACCGGAUGAUAUUUUGAACCGCAUGGUUCAAAAGUGAAAGACGGUCUUGCUGUCACUUAUAGAUGGAUCCGCGCUGCAUUAGCUAGUUGGUAAGGUAACGGCUUACCAAGGCAACGAUGCAUAGCCGACCUGAGAGGGUGAUCGGCCACACUGGAACUGAGACACGGUCCAGACUCCUACGGGAGGCAGCAGUAGGGAAUCUUCCGCAAUGGGCGAAAGCCUGACGGGGCAACGCCGCGUGAGUGAUGAAGGUCUUCGGAUCGUAAAACUCUGUUAUUAGGGAAGAACAUAUGUGUAAGUAACUGUGCACAUCUUGACGGUACCUAAUCAGAAAGCCACGGCUAACUACGUG